CGCUGGCGGCGUGCCUACACAUGCAAGUCGAGCGCGAAUAGGGAAACCUUAGUAGAGCGGCGCACGGGUGCGUAACACGUGGAUAAUCUGCCUGGAUGCCUGGGAUAACCAGUCGAAAGAUUGGCUAAUACCGGAUAAGCCCACGGUUUCUUCGGAGACUGAGGGAAAAGGUGGCCUCUGUAUACAAGCUAUCACAACCAUAACUCUGUGCCAUUGGCGGGGUAAUGGCCCACCAAGGCGACGACGGGUAGCUGGUCUGAGAGGACGAUCAGCCACACUGGAACUGAGACACGGUCCAGACUCCUACGGGAGGCAGCAGUGGGGAAUUUUGCGCAAUGGGCGAAAGCCUGACGCAGCAACGCCGCGUGUGUGAUGAAGGUCUUCGGAUUGUAAAGCACUUUCGACCGGGACGAAAACCCGUAGCCCAACACGCUACGGCUUGACGGUACCGGGAGAAGAAGCACCGGCUAACUCUGUGCCAGCAGCCGCGGUAAUACAGAGGGUGCAAGCGUUGUUCGGAAUUAUUGGGCGUAAAGCGCGUGUAGGCGGCGUGACAAGUCGGGUGUGAAAGCCCUCAGCUCAACUGAGGAAGUGCGCCCGAAACUGUCGUGCUUGAGUGCCGGAGAGGGUGGCGGAAUUCCCCAAGUAGAGGUGAAAUUCGUAGAUAUGGGGAGGAACACCGGUGGCGAAGGCGGCCACCUGGACGGUAACUGACGCUGAGACGCGAAAGCGUGGGGAGC
rnacentral:rRNA from 1 species